ACUCCUACGGGAGGCAGCAGUGGGGAAUUUUGGACACUGGGCGAAAGCCUGAUCCAGCAAUGCCGCGUGAGUGAAGAAGGCCUUCGGGUUGUAAAGCUCUUUUGUCAGGGAAGAAACGGUGAAAGCUAAUAUCUUUUGCUAAUGACGGUACCUGAAGAAUAAGCACCGGCUAACUACGUGCCAGCAGCCGCGGUAAUACGUAGGGUGCAAGCGUUAAUCGGAAUUACUGGGCGUAAAGCGUGCGCAGGCGGUUUUGUAAGUCUGAUGUGAAAUCCCCGGGCUCAACCUGGGAAUUGCAUUGGAGACUGCAAGGCUAGAAUCUGGCAGAGGGGGGUAGAAUUCCACGUGUAGCAGUGAAAUGCGUAGAUAUGUGGAGGAACCCCGAUGGCGAAGGCAGCCCCCUGGGUCAAGAUUGACGCUCAUGCACGAAAGCGUGGGGAGCAAACAGGAUUAGAAACCCCUGUAGUCCCAUGAU
rnacentral:rRNA from 1 species